rnacentral:lncRNA from 1 species
UAAGACCUCUUGCGGUUCCCCCGGGAUGUGUUCUUCCCCAUUGCGAUGAGCAGUGGGGUCAACUGUGCCUGCAGGUGUGUUCCCGGUGACCUUAGGAUGGGUGACGUUGACAACGGAAGCAACACAGGCCAUCCAGGGGCAGCUGGACAAGGCUCACCUCCGGGGAGCCUACAUCUUCUUCCUGGUGCCGCAAAUCCUUUCUGGAACCAGGUGGGUGUGUAAAUACCUUCUGAAAGAACCGGGGAGCUCAUCCGACAUCCUGGUCACGGCCUGAGGAAACGAACACACCCCUUCUCUUCUGCCUUUGGGACCUAAAUACUGCAUCCCGCGGUGGAACCGGAUGUGGUGAAACUUAUUGACAAUUCCUGGGCACAAGGUGAGUGGGAAUUAUUUGGUGGGUGUGUGUGUGGGGGGGGGACGGGGGUGGUGGAUGGAUGA